rnacentral:rRNA from 1 species
GUUGCCUCGGAUCAGGUAGGAAUACCCGCUGAACUUAAAAAGAAACCAACAGGGAUUGCCCUAGUAACGGCGAGUGAAGCGGCAACAGCUCAAAUUUGAAAUCUGGCCCUAGGCCCGAGUUGUAAUUUGCAGAGGAUGCUUUUGGCAAAGCGCUUUAGUUACCGAGUCCCCUGGAACGGGGCGCCACAGAGGGUGAGAGCCCCGUAUGGUAUGACGCCGAGCCUCUGUAAAGCUCCUUCGACGAGUCGAGUGGGAAUGCUGCUCUAAAUGGGAGGUAAAUUUCUUCUAAAGCUAAAUACCGGCCAGAGACCGAUAGCGCACAAGUAGAGUGAUCGAAAGAUGAAAAGCACUUUGAAAAGAGGGUUAAAUAGCACGUGAAAUUGUUGAAAGGGAAGCGCUCGUGACCAGACU